GUCUUGGUGGCUCAGUUGGCAGAGCGCUGGAGUACCGAUCCAGUAGAGUUCGUGAGUUCAAGUCUCACCCAAGGCA